GAUGAAGAACGUAGUGAAAUGCGAUACUUGGUGUGAAUUGCAGAAUCCCGUGAACCAUCGAGUCUUUGAACGCAAGUUGCGCCCGAAGCCAUUUGGUUGAGGGCACGUCUGCCUGGGCGUCACAUAUCGUUGCCCGAUGCCUAUUGCACUGUGAUAGGAAAUUCUAGGGCGAAAGAUGGCUUCCCGUGAGCGUUGUUGCCUCGCGGUUGGUUGAAAAUUGAGUCCUUGGUAGGGUGUGCCAUGAUAGAUGGUGGUCGAGUUUGCACGAGACCGAUCAUGUGUGCGCUCCCCAAAAUAUGGACUCUUUGACCCCACCCGCGUCUUUUGACGCUCAUGACGAGACCUCAGGUCAGGCGGGGCUACCCGCUGAGUUUAAGCAUAUCAAUAAGCGGAGGA
rnacentral:misc_RNA from 1 species